rnacentral:rRNA from 1 species
UGCGGAAGGAUCAUUAUCGUACAACGGAGGCAUGAAGGCUGUCGCUGACCUUUUCAAAGGUCGUGCACGCCCGAGCGUCUUCGAAAAUACAAUCCCUCUCACACAUUGUGCACAACCGCGUGGGGUCUCUCUUUUUGGUUCGUCCGCAGGGAGGCUCGCGUUUUUCCAUACAAACACCUUUUUAGUCAACGAAUGUCAUUAGUUUGCAAUUGUAUGCAACCAAUACAACUUUCAACAACGGAUCUCUUGGCUCUCGCAUCGAUGAAGAACGCAGCGAAAUGCGAUACGUAAUGUGAAUUGCAGAAUUCAGUGAAUCAUCGAAUCUUUGAACGCAACUUGCGCCCCUUGGCAUUCCGAGGGGCACACCCGUUUGAGUGUCGUGAAAUUCUCAAACCCACUUUGGUUUUUUAGACCAAGGAGGGUUUGGAUCUUGGAGGCCUUUUGCCGGCUUGAAUGAAAGCCGGCUCCUCUUAAAUGCAUUAGUGGGGUCCCCAUUGCUGGUCCUUAGACGUGAUAAGAUGUUUCUAAGUCUCGGGAUUUGCUCUGUCGCUUGGGAGCCCGCUUACAACCGUCUCGCAAGAGACAUCGUUCGAGCUUUGCUCGACCCAUGAACCUUGACCUCAAAUCGGGUGAGACUACCCGCUGAACUUAAGCAUAUCAAUAAGCGGAGGAAAAGAAACUAACAAGGAUUCCCCUAGUAACUGCGAGUGAAGCGGGAAAAGCUCAAAUUUAAAAUCUGGUGGCCUUUGGUCGCUCGAGU